UGCAAGUCGAGCGGAUGAAGGGAGCUUGCUCCUGGAUUCAGCGGCGGACGGGUGAGUAAUGCCUAGGAAUCUGCCUGGUAGUGGGGGAUAACGUCCGGAAACGGGCGCUAAUACCGCAUACGUCCUGAGGGAGAAAGUGGGGGAUCUUCGGACCUCACGCUAUCAGAUGAGCCUAGGUCGGAUUAGCUAGUUGGUGGGGUAAAGGCCUACCAAGGCGACGAUCCGUAACUGGUCUGAGAGGAUGAUCAGUCACACUGGAACUGAGACACGGUCCAGACUCCUACGGGAGGCAGCAGUGGGGAAUAUUGGACAAUGGGCGAAAGCCUGAUCCAGCCAUGCCGCGUGUGUGAAGAAGGUCUUCGGAUUGUAAAGCACUUUAAGUUGGGAGGAAGGGCAGUAAGUUAAUACCUUGCUGUUUUGACGUUACCAACAGAAUAAGCACCGGCUAACUUCGUGCCAGCAGCCUCGGUAAUACGGAAGGGUGCAAUCUUUUAUUUGAUUUUCUGGGCGGAACGCGCGGGUAGGUGGUUCAUUAGGUUGGAUGUGACAUCCCCGGGCCUGACCUG
rnacentral:rRNA from 1 species